rnacentral:tRNA from 1 species
GUUUUUGUAGUUAAAUAAUAACGGUGGUUCUUCAAACCAUGGGUCCUGGUUAAAGUCCAGGUAGAAAUU